GCACUCGUAGCUCAGCUGGAUAGAGCACUUGCUUGCGGAGCAAGAGGUCGUGCGUUCGAAUCGCGCCGAGUGUACCA
rnacentral:tRNA from 1 species